GACGAACGCUGGCGGCGUGCUUAACACAUGCAAGUCGAGCGAGAAACUUCGGUUUCUAGCGGCGGACGGGUGAGUAACACGUGGGCAACCUGCCUCACAAUGGGGGAUAGCCUUCCGAAAGGAAGAUUAAUACCGCAUAACACAAAGGAAACGCAUGUUUCUUUUGCCAAAGAAUUUCGUUGUGAGAUGGGCCCGCGGCGCAUUAGCUUGUUGGUGAGGCAACGGCUCACCAAGGCGACGAUGCGUAGCCGACCUGAGAGGGUGAUCGGCCACAUUGGAACUGAGACACGGUCCAGACUCCUACGGGAGGCAGCAGUGGGGAAUAUUGCACAAUGGAGGAAACUCUGAUGCAGCAACGCCGCGUGAGUGAUGAAGGUCUUCGGAUUGUAAAGCUCUGUCUUCUGGGACGAUAAUGACGGUACCAGAGGAGGAAGCCACGGCUAACUACGUGCCAGCCGCCGCUGUAA
rnacentral:rRNA from 1 species